GAGACUGCCGGUGUUAAACCGGAGGAAGGUGGGGAUGACGUCAAGUCCUCAUGGCCUUUAUGCCCAGGGCUACACACGUGCUACAAUGGGUGGUACAAAGAGCAGCUAACUCGCGAGAGUAUGCAAAUCUCAAAAAGCCAUCCUCAGUUCGGAUUGGAGUCUGCAACUCGACUCCAUGAAGUUGGAAUCGCUAGUAAUCGCGGAUCAGCAUGCCGCGGUGAAUACGUUCCCGGGCCUU
rnacentral:rRNA from 1 species